AACGAACGCUGGCGGCAUGCCUAACACAUGCAAGUCGAACGAGACCUUCGGGUCUAGUGGCGCACGGGUGCGUAACGCGUGGGGACCUGCCCUUAGGUUCGGAAUAACUCCCCGAAAGGGGUGCUAAUACCGGAUAAUGUCUUCGGACCAAAGAUUUAUUGCCUUUGGAUGGGCCCUCGUUGGAUUAGCUAGUUGGUAGGGUAAAAGCCGACCAAGGCGACGAUCCAUAGCUGGUCUGAGAGGAUGAUCAGCCACCCUGGGACUGAGACACGGCCCAGACUCCUACGGGAGGCAGCAGUGGGGAAUAUUGGACCAUGGGCGAAAGCCUGAUCCAGCAAUGCCGCGUGAGUGAUGAAUGCCUUAGGGUUGUAAAGCUCUUUUACCCGGGAUGAUAAUGACAGUACCGGGAGAAUAAGCUCCGGCUAACUCCGUG
rnacentral:rRNA from 1 species